rnacentral:siRNA from 1 species
ACUGGUGCAGAACAACUUUAUUUG